rnacentral:rRNA from 1 species
UUGUGGUGUACUUUCUCGUAACGUAGGUCAACAUCGGUUUCAAUCGUUACAAAAUGAUUAGAGGAACGUAGCUUCGAUCUCGGUUGAAGUGUUAUAGACUCUGUUAGACGUAAUGAUUAAGACCGAGGAUUGCAACGGAUGCUCGUUAGGGCUAUUCGCCUGGUCUCUGAUUCGUCGUUCUGGUGUCAAAAGCUCGCUUAUGAUGUUAGAUCGUGCGGUCAAAAGGUUAGAACGGAUUAAAUUCGUUAAGGAUGUUGACGUAAUGGCUUUAAACGA